AGUUAGUAUGACGCGGAACUAUGGACGGUGAAGUACGGUGCGGCUGUGAGCGGUGACGGGCAUCGAAAUGGCGACUCAAGUGGUAGUGAGGCGAUGGUGGGGGUGGUGUUGUGUGCUAGUGGUGGCGGUAGGGACGCUCGCAGGGGUGGCGGAGGGACAAUUCCGCAACGAUCGCGACCAAGAACUCUUACGGGACGACUACUGGCGGAGUAACUAUCGGAGUCGAGGCUAUACCACUCCACCCCCCGUCCGAACGCGUUACAACAGUGGGGACACUUACUACGGCACGGAUAACCGAUACCAGGACACGCGUUACGACGACCCAUCACAGUUACGAGGGUCCGACGGGCGCUUCCUCGACCAGGAGUUCAGGUACAGCGAGAACCCAAGACUGAGUGGAAACUACCUGGGGCGAGGCAGGUAUGACGCCCGAGGGAGGGAACGCCCAGGGUCACGCCCAGGCUCUCGCCCCGGGGAAGAGCAAUGGGACCAAGGCUUCGGGAUUCUUGACAUGUGGCGCCCCGACCUGCAGGGGGAGUUCCGGCCGUCUGAGGAGCCAGGCCUGACAGUCCCUCUGGCUGACAUUUUCGUGACCACCGACUCGGGCAAGGUGCAGGGCUUCUACGUCUACCUGUACGACAAGCCCGGUAUGCGCCCCAACGAACGCCCCGUCAACAAGCCUAUCCACCAGCAGCGCUACAUCAUGAACGUGUCCACCUUCCUCGGCAUUCCGUACGCCAAGCCGCCUUUGUUCGAGGGACGGUUCAAGCCCCCCCGACACGUCCCCAACUGGUACAGCACCUGGCAGGGCUUGGACUACCAGAGUGCCUGCCCCCAGAACCUCAAGUACAUCGGCACCUCCAACCACAUUAGAAACAUCCAUGAAGACUGCCUCUACCUCAACAUCUUCUCCCCCUCGGUGUCCAUCACGGUGAACAACCAGUACCCAGUGCUUUUCUAUGUGCAUGGGGGUGACCUGGACCAUGGGGCAAGCAACCAGUUUCCGGGGCACAUGCUGGCUGCUUGGGGGGAGGUGGUGGUGGUCACCUUCAAUUACAGGCUUGGAGCACUGGGCUUCCUCAGCACUGGAGAUGCCAACUCACCUGGCAACUAUGGUCUCAUGGACAUGGCAAUGGCCCUGGAGUGGGUGUAUACUAACAUCCGUUUCUUCAAUGGUGACCGCAGCAAGAUCACGGUGUUUGGGCCGGGUGCAGGAGGGGCCAUGGCAGGGUUACUUGCUGUGCUUCCCAAGACCAAGGACUAUGUCAGCCAGGUUAUUGCCAUGAGUGGCUCUCCCCUGGCAGAGUGGGCAGCACUGGAUGAUGUGUAUCGUGUGCAGAACACCUCCCGAGUCUAUGGCCAGGAGGUGGGCUGUACUGUGGAGAGUUCAUACAAGCUGCUGCAAUGCCUCAACCGCCGCAGCUAUGAAGAACUCUCCACUGCACCCAUUAUUCCUGAUCUUGGGACCUUCGCUUGGGCUCCAGCCGUGGAUACCAACUUCACUGUGCCGGGCGAUGACUGGUACGAGGAGUGGGAGGAGGCGGACUGGCACAUCCUCCCUGAGAUGCCCCUUGCCCUGUACCAAAGAAACCACCACCACCCCCAGCUGCGCGCCCUUACAGGAGUCAACCGUGAUGCUGCUGCCAACUUUGUCUUCGAAGACAACCGGCUGGUGCGCAAUCAUCAUGAGGUGACGGAGGAGUUCUUCAACGAGCGGGUGAAGGAAUGGGUGAAGCACUACAACUACUCCCUCAACCCUGAAGGUGCCUACGACGCCAUCAAGUGGAUGUACACCUACGGCCCCGACCCUCACAACGUCACACACAUAAGGGAGGAGUAUGUCAAUAUGCUUUCAGAUUCACUCUACAAGUCAGGUGUGGACCAGCUGGUGAAGGUGCUUGUCAACUCCACCAACAAGCGCAGUGUUCCCACCUAUUACUACCUCCUCAACACUACUGUGGAGGCCCUCAAACUACCCUUCUGGAGACAGAUCCCAAACAAUAUUGAGUAUUACUUCAUCACCGGCGCUCCCUUCAUGGACCCGGACUUUUACCCCGAGACCAUGCGGGUGUCUCGGGAGCAGUGGGGUGAGGGCGACCGCAACAUCUCCGAGUUCAUGAUGAAGACACUCGCUAACUUUGCCAAGUGGGGCAACCCCACCCAGUCACAGGUUCAAAUACUCAAGGUAAACUGGGAGCAGGUGUUGGAAGGUAACCUGAAGUACCUGAGCAUCAACACCACCUUCAACACCUCCAUCCACUACAACUACCGCCAGCCCUACAACACCUUCUGGACCACCUACAUCCCCCAGGUCGUGAGAGAGUGGGUGCCCACUGUUCCCCCACCUCUCAAUCCUUGGACACAGAUGAGCCAACCCAUUGUGGCAGCCUUCUAUGGGUCGCUGGUGGCCUGUGUGGUGCUGCUGGUGAUCCUCUUUGUCUGCUGUGGCCUCUGGAAGUCAGCUAAGAGACAGAGGAACAAGGCCCUGGACGACCUCCAGUACAUCUCCUCCGACCACCUCGAGCCACCAGAACACCAAGACGACUACAAGGUGAGGGAGUACCUAGACAAGCUCUCUAACCAUCAGCUCAGCACUGGCCUGCCCUCUCGGCCCAUCACCCCCAACACCAUCACCACCGACGCCCCGGAGCUUUCCGAGGCCGGGACGCUCAAGAGGGGCAUGAACAACUAUGAAAGUUACCGUCCCAAUAAUCAGACAAUGGCAAAGUCUGUCGACCAGCUGAGUCAGCCACGUUAUCAGGUUGACCGCAGUCAUGACCCCCACCCAGCCAAGAUCCACAUCUCUAGAUCCACAGAUAACAUACUUGAGAGCUAUCCUCAGGCAUACAUCACAGCAGACAUGGGGGCACAGCUUAAUGGGCGCCCUCACCAGCCACAACCAAGAAAGAACAAUAAUAACAACAAUAACAACCUAAUAUCCAUGACUCCACCCCAGCAUAUGCGGCCCAUUACUCCAGCCUCAGAGAUUCACUCGGAGCCUGUAAGGAAACCACCCUCAGAGAUUCACUCAGAGCCUGUACGGAGACCAUCCUAUGACAAUGCCUUUACAACACAGCCGCUUGUAUGCCAGGAGCUGGAGAAGCCACCGAGAACACCAGUACCAGCUAUGCGCACCUCGGUGGCCACAGUCACCUCCACCACAGGCUUGCUGCAUACUGAGCUGUAAAGCCUAGUGUAGUUAGACUCAAGACACAUCAGCACUGAAAUUUCUGAGCUAUAUCUCAUUGUACAUAUUUACAAAAGCUGCAAACUCUUCUUUCUAUAUUAACGUCCAGCCGUGUGUGGCAUUUAUGUUAGUGUUGUGUACCUAGCCAGACAUAGGGUCAAAGACAGAACUGGCUCAGCUGUGGGUGGGUCAUGGACUAGACUUGCUGCUGAUGCACAGUGGAGAAAGGACAAGUGUAGGAGUCAUGCAAUGGAGGUGUUACUUAUAAUAUUUAAGUCGAUGACCACAUAAAUUGUAGUGCUUUUCUUUUUAAAUGUAGUGCCAAAAUUUGGUUGCUUAAUACACUGUGUUCACAUUAUAUCUUAAGGAGUGUAUGACAUUAAUUUAUAUGGUCAUAAUUGCUAGCUCAAAGCAUUUAUGCAUCAGCCAGAAUAAUUAUUUCCUCCAGGAGGAUAUAUAGAAAUUUUGUUCGUCUAGUUAUCUACUAAGGUCACAAAAGAAACUUUACAAAUGGAACUGAUUUAAAGUUCUGUACUAUAUCUCAAUUUUGUUCAAUGCUACAAUUACAAAAUGAGUUAAGGUUGUUAAUGAUGCAUGAUAUCUAUGGCUGUGCAAGACCUUGCUACUUGUAGAGGCAAAGGAUGAAGGAGAGCAGUAGGAACAGUUAUUUGUCAUGCAUUAAGUACAACCCAAGAAUUAUAUGGAUAGGAGAGUAGCUAUAUUGAAGGAGGAAAAAGUACUGGGAAGGAGGAGGCAGAAAAGUAUGUUAGUUCUCAAAUACAAGAACACCAACAUUUAACAAAUCUUUUUAACAAUGUUAUAUCUUAGUAAGGAAAAAGAUAAACUAUUCUGAUGUAUAAAUAUAUAUACAUGAUAUGAUCUCCAAGCAGGAACAAUAGACACUGGUCACAACAAAGACUCUUUAGAGUUGAAUGAGAAGUGACCGUGAUAUUUAUGUUUUAUUGAGAGCAUGUGUAUGUUCUGGCGUGCUUGAUAUGUAUAUAGUUGUUUGAUAGUUAUAUACUGAGAUGUAAUUUAAGUUCUUUUUAUACAAGUCUAGGUAGUUUAUCACUUUAAUGUAAAUCUAUUGCCCUGCCUCAUUAACUUACAUAUUAUGCAUUAUUCAUAUUCUCACUUGUAUCUGCAGUUUAAAAGUAUUUGCAGCAACCGGUUCUCAACAGCAUUUACUACCCGAGGUUUUUCUUUGCCGAUUGCAAGCAAGUUUAACAGUAUUGAUUAGUCUGUGUACUGUAAUUGUACAUGCUAAAGUGUAGGAUGGCAGCAACCAAAGGAAUCCUCAUUAUGAACAUCCAUUAUUAAAUUUUAUCACUAAGUGUUAACUGCAUCAUAAGACUUCUAAGAGUUUCAAGCAAUAACAAUCACAUCCUAUGGGUAAAUGGAUCUAAGUUUCAUUAAAACUGCACAUGGUAAUGCUUAUGCAGUCUGGUUAUUACAGACUCCGACACAUGCCUUCUUCAGUGUCCCAUAUUUAUAACAAAGCUAUUUAUAUUAUUGAAGUGGUUAUUAGGAUGUGAGCUAAGUGCCUGUUAUGAGAUGUGAAACAAAUUACUUAGGGAACAUUAUACUAUAGGCCCACAGAAGGGUAUGAUAUGGGGUAGCAGAGUGCCUUAUGCAUGCCAUCCACUGACUUUGGUAACGAUCAUCCAACACGUUUGCUCAGACCAGAGAGGUUUUGACAUUGCCAGUACUGAAAUGUCUCGUAUGCCUUAUGUACAAAUGUAACAACUUUCUCUUGUUUAUUUUUUUUUAUAAUUAAACUGUAAAUAUA